ACAAAACCGGCAGAAGAGAAAGGGGAAAGAAGAAGAAGAAGAGAAAAGAGGGAAGUUAGAAGGGAAAUUAAGCGGAGUUGAAGAAAAUAAGUUUAAAGAUAAUUCUGAUAUUCUACUGGCGGGACGUCAGUAGGAUUUUCUUCGGUGUCUGCUUUUGACUUUUGUUUGCUUUCGAGUCAGGCUUAUAACUUGAUAGCAGGUCACUUUUGUUGGACCUUCAGAACCUGCUCUUUUGGUUGUAAUUUGUACAUUUUCCUUUAUGUCUAGUUAGUGAUCCAAAACUAUGAAAUUAUAUUAACUCUUGUAUUAAGUCAAUUAAAUUAUAUUAUAAAGUUAGUUUUGUUGUUACUGCUGCGUUGAACUCUGAUUGACUUAUUUAAUGGAUAAAUUUGUAUGUAAGUUUGGGUUCGCAUAGGUAUGGAACUUUGGAGGGGAAUCUUGCCUAUAUACCGGUCAUGUAUCCGGGAAUCGGGUCGUGACACAUAAAGUAACAAAGAAAGAAAGAAAGCAAUCAAGAUGAAAAACAAAUUAACAUCAAAGGGUCUCUGGAAUCAAGUGAUAAAAAUAGAAAAAAGAAAAAGUCUUUAAGCAACCAUACCUCUUGGUUUCAGCCAAUCAACAGAGCAGUGACUUCAGACCAGUGAGCAGAGGUGCAAAUAUUACUGCAGAUUAUAAACAGCUGAGGUUUAUCAGCAGUGAGAAAGCAAGGGAAUGGAUGAGAGCAACAGUGGAUGGCUUAAUGAUUAUUCUCUGUAUAGUUGAAAGAGCGCAUCUUUCCUUCAUAAAGAGAGAGGGAAAAAAAGAAAAAGAACAACUUGACUU